AAUUGUUCAUGCUUGCUUUGCGCCGCCAUACAUACAUCGCAGCUUCGACGCAGUCUGCAAUAUCAAGUGCUUCAUGCUCGGAAGUUAUAUCAAGACAAUCAAGAAGAUAAUCAGGGCAGAACUUGUCUGGAGUUGAUACGCGGCGAUAGAUAGAAUCUCCUACACUCGAUCGCCCACUCUGAAGAACAAAAGGCAAUUUUCAGCUAUAAGAAUUUUAAUUACAGCCCUUUCACUUCUUUACAAUCAGAUAAGAAUAGCAGUAGAAUAGACAUAAGUCUUGAAGGGUGAGAUUAGAUCAUUUUGCUACAAAGGGUGUCUGGGCAUUGGAUUCUGUGAGAUAAAGGCUAGGUGAUCCAUUAAGCAUAUGAUGUUUGUGGCAACUUUUGAAUUAUAUACCUUUGGAAGUGCUGCAAGCUCCUUCCGUGAUCUCUCGGGGAGGCCGGAUGCAGGAACACAUGGAACAGGCAGCCACCAUUUUUCGUCAUCCCGAUGAAUCACCUGCCUGAAUGACCUUGAGGUACAGGCAAUCGAUGAUUGCUUCCCUUCGUCGACAUACCAGAAUUCUGUGUUCUGGAAGCUGUCCAAUAUUUCCUGCAGUAAAUUUUGGUACCCAAUGAGCUAAGUCCACAAAUAUUUUAUAAUUUUUUUAAAAAAAUAUGUAACUGUAUUGAAUCUUUUUGAUACAUGAAGUCCGUGCCAAUAAUACAUAUCAUAACAAAGUGCUGAU